AUUCCAGCUCCAAUAGCGUAUAUUAAAGUUGUUGCAGUUAAAAAGCUCGUAGUUGAAUUUCUGGUGGGAGUGUACAGUCCGACACUGAGUGUUGGUUCUUGUGUGUCUCCGGCCAUCCUUGGAGUGAAUCUGUCUGGCAUUUAGUUGUUGGGCAGAGUAUCUCCAUCGUUUACUGUGAGGAAAGGAAAGUGUUCAAAGCAGGCUUACGCCGUUGAAUCUUUUAGCAUGGAAUAAUGGAAUAGGAACUCGUUUCUAUUUUGUUGGUUUUCGGAAAUCGAGUUAAUGAUUAACAGGGACAAUUGGGGGCAUUAGUAUUCAGACGACAGAGGUGAAAUUCUUGGACCGUCUGAAGACUGACUACUGCGAAAGCAUUUGCUAAGAGUGUUUUCAUCA
rnacentral:rRNA from 1 species